GUGUUUCUAGACUUUGCCUCUUCCAAUGUAGCUUUAGGCAGAGGAGGGCCCCCUGGACACUGCCUCUCACUGGUUUCUUCAGGGUGUGUGUGAAGGUCUCUGGACAGCAUGGGGGGCCCCAGAUGACAGGUGUUGGGGUUGUGGAGCUUCACCAGAUGGCAGCCGCCACCAGUAAAGGGAGACACAACAUCGUAGCGAUAUCAGCAGUGAUGAUGAACGGGGACCUGCUAGGGGCGGACCUCUCUCCAUGAGUUAAGGGAAGCCACCCACUGACCGCAUCACAGAAACAAAGGGAAAGGACUCCAAGUGAGAUAGGACCACCCUGGGGAUUCAGGCUGAUUUAACGGGGAGGUGGGGGCUCCCAGGCCCGGUUUCUGAGCCGUGGCUGGGGCCGGCUCACUCAGAGAGUUGCGGAAAGUUAGACUCUGGUUUUGAGACUCUGGGGCCAAGGGAGGGGUCGCAGCCAAGUCCCCUGACCCUCGAAUUUGAGUCCACGUGAGCUAUUCUAACAAUCUCCUCCUCCUUGGCCUCCUUGGCCUCUUUCUUGGAGGAGGAGGAUGACAAAAGUGAAGAAAGGUGGUUGGGCAGAGGUAAUUCGGUGCAGAAAGGAGACAGUGGGGGAAGUAUUCUUACAAUCCUAUCCUGCCAUGAGCUCAGUUCCAGUUCACGAAAUAAGGCUGAGAUAAAUACCGUUUGUGAUAUUAUUUCUCGUGGGUCUUCCUCUCCCAUAAUCAGCGAUAGUUUUUCAUCAGCUGCGGUGAGCCGGAGGGAGAGCAGAGGAGGACCCUGGCUAGCUUUUGGGGAUGAAGCCGAGGCCCACACGGGUUGAGGAUCUGCUGAGCACCAGCCCCUGCAAGGAUUGGGCUCCCGCCAAACCUGAGGGGAAGGAGUUGCUACCCUCGUGUCCGGAUGAGGACCCCAGAGUCGGAGCGUUCCAGUGGCCUCCUGAGGCCUCAGCCCUGCCUGGCAGGGAGCAAGGGUGCCCAGACCUUGGCCUCUCCUUGCUGCCUGUGGUCACACACGCUCAGGAGCUCCACCUUGUCAUCUUGCUGCUGCUGUGAUGUGGCAACCGCACCACAUAUAAAUAGUAACGAGGGAUGAAUAAGCCAGGGUUACAGGCUGCUGCCAGAGGCUGAGUGAGGCUCACUCCGGCUGCUCCAGCUCUUGGCAACAGCCCAGCUCCCCAGUUCUUGCCAAAAAUCGCUGAGGCUUGCAGCUGGAGGAAGACGUGGAUCUGGGCUGAUGGUGGCACCACUUUGGCCUGGAAUGUCCUGCCCCCUGGCCUGGGUCUGGCCCAGGAAGCAAGGCAAGGUGGGGAAGGAGCCCAGGGAGCUGGCAGGAAUCAGCCUUGUCAGGUGGCCACCUGCCAGAGUCUAGAAUACCCCGGAGUUCAUCCUUCCACAGAAACGUCUGGAACAAUUGUCUCUGUCUUCUUCAACCAGGUCUCCCAAUAAUGGUGACAUUUCAAGCAUUUUGAACAUUGUUUUGGGGGAAAUACAGCGUCUCCUGCCCAUUUA